rnacentral:rRNA from 1 species
UACGUAGGUGACAAGCGUUAUCCGGAAUUACUGGGCGUAAAGCGCACGCAGGCGGCGUGGUAAGUCUGAUGUGAAAUCUCCCGGCUUAACUGGGAGGGGUCAUUGGAAACUGCCGAGCUUGAGGCGAUGAGAGGGGUGUAGAAUUCCCGGUGUAGUGGUGGAAUGCGUAGAUAUCGGGAGGAAUACCAGUGGCGAAAGCGGCACCCUGGCAUUAGCCUGACGCUCAUGUGCGAAGGCGUGGGGAGCAAACAGG